rnacentral:rRNA from 1 species
UCCCAGACUCCUACGGGAGGCAGCAGUGGGGGAUAUUGCACAAUGGGGGAAACCCUGAUGCAGCGACGCCGCGUGGGCGAAGAAGUAUUUCGGUAUGUAAAGCCCUAUCAGCAGGGAAGAAGAAAUGACGGUACCUGAGUAAGAAGCACCGGCUAAAUACGUGCCAGCAGCCGCGGUAAUACGUAUGGUGCAAGCGUUAUCCGGAUUUACUGGGUGUAAAGGGAGCGCAGGCGGCACGGCAAGCCUGAUGUGAAAGCCCGCGGCUCAACCGCGGAACUGCAUUUGAAACUGUUUUUCUUGAGUACCGGAGAGGUCAUCGGAAUUCCUUGUGUAGCGGUGAAAUGCGUAGAUAUAAGGAAGAACACCAGUGGCGAAGGCGGAUGACUGGACGACAACUGACGGUGGGGCGCGAAAGCGUGGGGAGCAAACAGGAUUAGAUACCCGGGUAGG